GUUAGAUGUCGCUGUAGAUUUAGCAGCACUGUACUGUAAAAAUCCACAGUACUAUACUGUAUGUGUACAUUACAGUACAGUACUGCAGUUCAUAAUGCAUUCUGGGUAAAUUUGUUUGAGCGGGAAAAUUUUACAGUAUAUUUUGGUCUUGAUGUAACCUUGCUGUAGCCAUUGCUGUAAUGUGCCAGGUGUACUUGCAAUAAUCAGUGAAAGUGCGCCAACGUCAAAUCACACAGACAGAGGGAGAGCACAACUCUUGGCUGCAGCUGAAGGAGGACGAUUGAUUUCUGUCAGUUCGGUAAGUUUGAAAUAUUUCUGUUUCAUGAAAACUUAAUUUUUAGUUUAAGAAUGUUGUCAAUAGUUUGUCACAAUAUUGUUUUAAACGUGCAAUGAGAGAGAAAAACGGUCGCCAACAAAGUUUCAAUCUCCCUCAGAAAGUAAGCUAACGUAAACGUUACACACAGAUGUCUACCGCUGCUUUAACUCGCUUUACACCUUUUUAAAUGAAUAUAGGGUUGUUUUAACUAAAUUAUGACGGUUUGGUGAGUUUAUAUUGUGUUGAAAGUGUGGUGACAAUGAAACUAUUUUUAACGAAAUGGACAAAGACAACCCGCCAGCGCGGUCUUGCGGUCCCAGCAUAACGGUCGUUGACGGCGUUUCAUCCGUUCAGUUAGCGUCAGAGAAAAGUAUGAAGUUCGACUGUUUGGUAAGGCUGUGGUUGUAAACAGACAGGACUUGACACGCCGUACACAGCAUACUGUAGUACCGAACUCCUCCACAGAAGUGAAAACAAGAAACCUCAUAUUUAACUGGAUACAUGCAUCGAACUCAUCGCAGCUUUAACUUCGACCAAAUAUCAUUCAGACCUGGGCUCAUCUUAAUAUCGGAUGAACGAAAGGGAUUGCCGCGCUUAUUGUUGUUGUUAUUAUAUUACGGUAACUUAUAUCAGCAAAAGCAGAGAAUAUCUUCUCUUAAGCGUUUUACACGCCCAGUAAGUUGUCCAAUACAUUUUUAUGGCAUAUUGUUUCCACCACUUCAGAUGCAUUACACGCUGUAUAUAUAAGUUUCCAAAACACAUCAAAUCAAUGCACGAAAAGAGAAUGGGCUCCGCAUUUACGUACCUUUGUCUUCUCGUCUCUGUCAUCUGAUCCUUCAUCUCUUGAUGUAAAAAUAGUCCAUUAUAACAUCGUGUAGGAAACUGGCAUCACCAGGAUUGCUCAGAUUUAGGCGAUCAUGUUUAUCUUUAAAGUGAGCAGCUAGCUACUAACUUGUUAAAAAACUUUGCGUGAAAUAGCGUGUUACACCGCAGCCGUCCGGGUAAAACAUUAAAGGGACAGUCUUUUUACCUUGUCACUAUAAAUCGCUAUUUUCUGCACUAAACGAGACAUUUUCAGAGAUUUUCUGUAGACAAGAUGUUAUAGAAUAAUAAUUUAAAAAAGACUUAUUUAGAUAUUUAUAUAUAAUAUAUAAUAUAACAACUAAUAUAUAUAUAUAUAUAUUUGUUUUACAACUGACUUAACACUUACAGUAAUGUUUUAUUUGUUAGCAUAGCAUGAUAUUAGAUUUAAACACUUAAUACAUUUUUAAAUCAAUCACUUUGUCUCUGCACAAUGAACAUUAUCAAAUAUUAUUAAUGUUGUAAAAUAUAUUGUUCAUUGUUAGUUCAUAUUAGCUAAGGCAUUACCAAAUGUUAAGGAAUAAACUCUUAUAGUAAAGUGUUACUAAAUUUUCUUUUACCAUUUCCUUCACAAUGUCUACUUAUUUCUAUGGCUAACAGAUUUUGUAACAUUUGUCUUUUUUACAGUCUUACCAUUGCUUGUAAGCUGGAUUGGGUUAGAUGGAUCAUCUUUAAAGGCACCAGGCAAGUACAUGAUGUACAGUUACAAGUCAUGUAUUUUUUCGACUGCAAUAUUAAAUGCUUUCACGUCACAUGUAAAAGUACACAGGAAUGUGCUGAUCACUUUUUAUUUGUAGUUUACAUGAGUGUCAUUGCACUUUUCAGGAGUUAAGGCAGAUGUGGAGGCACAAUGGGUGACACCAGACACACACCAAGCACAUUAUGUUCGGACAUUCAAUCAUGACAUGAUCCAUGUGGAUGCUGUCCAUUGAGGAAAGAGUUUGUUCCGAGGUUUCUGGAUAGAAUUAAUUCCAAAGAUGGGAAAAAAUGCACAUCCAGACAAGGAGCAAGCAAAAAGACAAGGAACUUGGUGCAGAGAAAAGCUGUGGCCAUUAACCCCCAUGUGAACAGCUUCAUGCAGUCCCUGAUUGAGUUCGAAUGGACGACUUCAAAGUAAAGGCCACUGUGGUCUGUCUGCCAGUUUAAUGCAUUUAUUUUUAGUGUUAAAUGAAAUUCAAGUAGAAUAUUUAAAACUAUGGGCCAGUGUUCUUUUUACCACAGUGAAAUGUUACCUUUUAGUCGAUGAUGGACUUUAAACUGAAAACUUCAAACUAUGGAACAGUGUUCUAUUUGCCAGAGUUAAAUAUGUUACAGCAGGGGUCUCCAAACUUGUUUAUACUUGUUGAUUUUAUUUUAUGUUACUUGAUUAUAUGUUUAUUAUUGUUUAAAAUCUUGUUUUAAAUGUUUUGUUUCAAUUAAAUGUUUUUUUAAAUAAAAUUUUGAUACAAACAUUGCUUGGAUUGCCUUUUAAUUCAUUAUGUCAUGUCAAGGAUAGCAUUUUUACCAUAUUAAUAACUAUAGAUUUAAACCUAAAUCUCUAUCUAUUUUAUAUAAUAUUAUUGUAUUAACUGUAAUAAGUAAUAAAUAGUAUUUAUGGGUCAAUAUAGACAUUACAGUAAAUUACUGUAAAAAUAGACUACUGUAAUAAAAUAUUGUAAAAUUACAGUACAGUACUGCUUUGUAACUAUACAGUACUAGUUUGUGUACUGUAAAAUGGUAUUACAGUACAGUACUGUAAACCCAAAAUACAGUAACUUACUGGCAACCGUGCUGCCAGUACCGUACUGUAAAAAUACAGGGAAAUCGUUAA